CCUACGGGUGGCAGCAGUGAGGAAUAUUGGUCAAUGGACGAGAGUCUGAACCAGCCAAGUAGCGUGAAGGAUGACUGCCCUAUGGGUUGUAAACUUCUUUUAUAAAGGAAUAAAACGAGGCACGUGUGCCUUUUUGCAUGUACUUUAUGAAUAAGGAUCGGCUAACUCCGUGCCAGCAGCCGCGGUAAUACGGAGGAUUCGAGCGUUAUCCGGAUUUAUUGGGUUUAAGGGAGCGUAGAUGGGUUGUUAAGUCAGUUGUGAAAGUUUGCGGCUCAACCGUAAAAUUGCAAUUGAUACUGGCAGUCUGGAGUACAGGUGAGGUAGGCGGGAUGCGUGGUGUAGCGGUGAAAUGCUGAGAUAUCACGAAGAACCCCGAUUGCGAAGGCAGCUUACUAACCUGUGACUGACAUUGAUGCUCGAAAGUGUGGGUAUCAAACAGGAUUAGAUACCCGGGUAGUC
rnacentral:rRNA from 1 species